AUUGAACGCUGGCGGCAUGCUUUACACAUGCAAGUCGAACGGCAGCGCGGGCUUCGGCCUGGCGGCGAGUGGCGAACGGGUGAGUAAUACAUCGGAACGUGCCCAGUAGUGGGGGAUAGCUCGGCGAAAGCCGGAUUAAUACCGCAUACGACCUGAGGGUGAAAGCGGGGGAUCUUCGGACCUCGCGCUAUUGGAGCGGCCGAUGGCAGAUUAGCUAGUUGGUGGGGUAAAGGCCUACCAAGGCGACGAUCUGCAGCUGGUCUGAGAGGACGACCAGCCACACUGGGACUGAGACACGGCCCAGACUCCUACGGGAGGCAGCAGUGGGGAAUUUUGGACAAUGGGCGAAAGCCUGAUCCAGCAAUGCCGCGUGUGUGAUGAAGGCCUUCGGGUUGUAAAGCACUUUUGGCGGGAACGAAAAGGACUGUGCCAAUACCACGGUUCGAUGACGGUACCCGCAGAAUAAGCACCGGCUAACUACGU
rnacentral:rRNA from 1 species